rnacentral:rRNA from 1 species
CAAAAAAUGUCGCAAAUACAAACAACCUCUUACAGCAAUAUCAGUGCCAAUCUAUAUUAAUAUAGAAGAGCUAAUGCUAGAACUAGUAACAAGAGUCUAUCUCUACGCACAACUGUAAAUCAGUCACAGAAAACCUACUGAAAAUUAACAGCCCAAUGCAUAUCU